GGUCAAAGAAAAAUGGACGGUGUA
rnacentral:siRNA from 1 species